UACGUAGGGUCCGAGCGUUGUCCGGAAUUAUUGGGCGUAAAGGGCUCGUAGGCGGUCUGUUGCGUCGGGAGUGAAAACUUACAGCUUAACUGUGAGCGUGCUUCCGAUACGGGCAGACUUGAGGUAUUCAGGGGAGAACGGAAUUCCUGGUGUAGCGGUGGAAUGCGCAGAUAUCAGGAGGAACACCGAUGGCGAAGGCAGAUCUCUGGGCCGUAACUGACGCUGAGGAGCGAAAGCAUGGGGAGCGAACAGG
rnacentral:rRNA from 1 species